UUUGCGGUUCUGAAUGAAAGUGCCAGAAGUGAAGUGUUUAUGUGGUUGUCGGUUGGAAUCUUACUGCAAUUUGACGAGGAUUUUCGCUUCAUUUGAAUUACUUUGAUCCAUCAGAAUUAAUCUGAUGGCAGAAUGUGAAGUGGUGGUAGAUGAUUUUGUGAGGACAGGAAGGACUGGCCGGCGGAACGCUCUCCCUGAUGUAUUUGCUGUUGGACAUGCAAAUGUGACAACAGCAGGACUUCCUGAAGUCCUGGAAAAUUUUUCCAUCAGUUCUUCAACUCAGCCAGCAUGCAAUGGCACUUCAAGCUCAGAGAACCAGCCUCAGAUGCAGAAAUGAAAGUGGAUAUUUGCUGCGGCAAACUUUUUAUAAAUUAUUUGAUACCUUGUUGACUUACUAUUCUCAAAUGGCAUCAUAACUUGACUUGGUUCACGAAUAACUUUUUUGUCGGUUGAUGGGGGUGGCAGUCUUUUUUCAUCCUCAAGGAUUUGAUUUUUAUUGUUGAAAGGAAAUUGCUCUGAGAUGGUGUUACAUGCAAGUUCUCCUAAGGAAAGGGGGACCAACUACUGUAUGAAAAUUCAUAUUGUGGCAUCAAUGCCAAUUCUGAUGAGAAGACAUGACAGAUUCUGCUGAAAACUGAUUAUCUGCCUUAAUUAGUCUUUUGAGGAAUAAUCAUGAAGAAAUGUUUACUACUUUGUGAUUUCUCUUUGUCAUCUGAUGAAUUGCAUUUUGUUAUUUAUAUUCUUUACUAAAUUAUGUAUUUCAGUUCAAAUUCAGUCACAUUUCUUUCUGCAAUGUUCAGUUGCAUUGAACAAUAUGGCCAUUUCAUGUGGCAGAGAAUGUAGCUUAGUGAUAAAAUACUAAGACACAUUUUGAUCCUUUUUUGAAAAUAAGAAUCAAUAAAUUUGUUCAUGACAUCAGUUCACAUUCAACCAGGAAGCACAAUAAAGGCUAUGUCCUAAAUACUUAAAUCCACUUAGGAGUAGUCAAUUGCACAGGGAUUUAUUAGAGAUCUGACUUUGCUAUGUGAAAAAUUGUAAUGUGCUCAUUUGAGUUAAGGAAAGAGGACAGUUCAGUUAUAAUGAUCUUUUUAAUUAGCUGAGAUCUCAGUUAUCAAGCUGGAAGAUCUUUCUGAUAAAGACUCCAUCUAAGUUACUGUGGUGAAACUUGAAAUUUUGUAUUUUGUUAGUCCAGGUAACUUGGGUGUCAUGUUUAGUGUGAAUUGUAACAAGGCUGAAAUCUUUCCUUGAUGAAUGGGCUCACAACAGACUGUUAAGUAAAUUAAUUUAUGUCAUACAACAAAGUACCAUUCUAAGCUUGGUAUUAAAAAAAUUUUUGUUAUCUAAGAAACAGUGAUUAACUUUCUUAGGCAAGUACAUACCUCAGUAAUUUAUUCUCAGCUUUCAUAUAUCAAGUAUGUGUCUUAAAUUUUUAUGAACAUUUGAUUUAAAUUAAGUAUUGUUCAUUGAUGAUAUUGUAAAUAUUAGAGAUUGAAUAUUGAAAUGAAUUAAAAGCAGUUUCUCAACUUGAAACGAAA